CUACGGGGGGCAGCAGUGGGGAAUAUUGGACAAUGGGCGAAAGCCUGAUCCAGCCAUGCCGCGUGUGUGAAGAAGACCUUCGGGUUGUAAAGCACUUUCAGUGGGGAAGAAAGCCUUGGGGCUAAUACCCUCGAGGAAGGACAUCACCCACAGAAGAAGCACCGGCUAACUCCGUGCCAGCAGCCGCGGUAAUACGGAGGGUGCGAGCGUUAAUCGGAAUUACUGGGCGUAAAGCGCGCGUAGGCGGUCUGAUAAGCCGGUUGUGAAAGCCCCGGGCUCAACCUGGGAACGGCAUCCGGAACUGUCAGGCUAGAGUGCAGGAGAGGAAGGUAGAAUUCCCGGUGUAGCGGUGAAAUGCGUAGAGAUCGGGAGGAAUACCAGUGGCGAAGGCGGCCUUCUGGACUGACACUGACGCUGAGGUGCGAAAGCGUGGGUAGCAAACAGGAUUAGAUACCCUAGUAGUC
rnacentral:rRNA from 1 species